CUGCUCAUCUUCGACCAUGGACGUGAUGGCCGUCCGCCUCAAACUCACUGGCAUCGCGCCUCUUAUCCCCGGCGACCGCGCGCUAGUCUAGUAGGCACGGGAGGACACGGUCGCCACUCCCAUAACAUCGGCACCUCCCCCGUGCUGCCCUCUAUCGACAACGGCGAGAGCCGAGCCCCUCUCCUCUGCUCCAGUCGGGAGGAGGAAGAGGGCCAGAGAAAGAGAGGAGGAAAAGGUAUGCGCUGGAUGUGAACGCCGAGAGGCGGAGGACGUGGUCACGCACCAGCGGCUGCUCGAGGAGGCACACAACCCCGUGCGCCGGCCCGCCCUGUCGGUGCGCGUCGUCCAGGUUAACGACUAUAUUGUUAAGGAAGCUCAUCUCUUGCAUCAAAUCGAAUUGCGUGAAAAGGAACAUUUGAAGUUCUUGCAGCUUUCUUAAGGAUUUUAUGAUUAAAUCUGGCAUUUGACACUGAGAAUUGGAAUCUGACCCAAUUUGCAACAGCUCUGAAGAUGAUCUGUUUCCCUGGAGCAUCAGGUCUGGCUAAUUUGAUCAUGUGCUAUCUGUGAUGGGCGAAGGGAGAGCAAGGAGGGGGAGGAGGGAAGGCAGAGGUUAACAUAUUUUUCUUAUAGUGUAAAUGUGUUCCUCGAUGAACUAAAGCUUGGUCAUUGUACAAUCCGGGGGAGCCUUGAUACCUUCUCAUGCUCCACUAAAUUUUGAUUACUGAGUCCAUUACAUCAUGGCAAUAGGGUCAAGCUCCACUUUAAUUUGCCUGCAAGCAUGCAGGAAAUAAGCCUUGAACAUUAGGUAUUACUUUCCACCAGCCUAUGAUUUUACCACAACUGCUUUUCAUUUAGUGCUGAUGUUGAUCAGUAGGCAUUGAUGUGAUAUUUAUAUAUUGUUAUUAUUGCCAAAUACAAUUCAUGACUUUAUGGUUCUUUUGACGUGA